UACGGAGGGGGCUAGCGUUGUUCGGAAUUACUGGGCGUAAAGCGCACGUAGGCGGCUUUGUAAGUCAGGGGUGAAAUCCCGGGGCUCAACCUCGGAACUGCCUUUGAUACUGCAAAUCUCGAGUCCGAUAGAGGUGGGUGGAAUUCCUAGUGUAGAGGUGAAAUUCGUAGAUAUUAGGAAGAACACCGGUGGCGAAGGCGGCCCACUGGAUCGGCAUUGACGCUGAGGCGCGAAGGCGUGGGGAGCAAACAGG
rnacentral:rRNA from 1 species